UACGUAGGGGGCAAGCGUUGUCCGGAUUUAUUGGGCGUAAAGCGCUCGCAGGUGGUUCAUUGCGUCGUGCGUGAAAGACCCCGGCUCAACUGGGGAGGGUCGUGCGAAACGGGUGAACUAGAGGCCAGUAGGGGGAUGCGGAAUUCCGGGUGUAGUGGUGGAAUGCGUAGAGAUCGGCAGGAACACCCAGGGGGAAACCAGCCGACUGGGCAUCUACUGACGCUGAGGUGCGAGAGCGUGGGGAGCGAACCGG
rnacentral:rRNA from 1 species